GCGGCGCUGCCUUCAGUGAGCUGUGGGAUGAGAACACCGGCCAAUCAGAGAGAAAAGCUCAGAAACCUCCGCGCUGCCGGUCUCAGGGGGACACCCUCUAAAAGCCAAGCAAGCCAAAGAGCAGCCGCACCAUCCGCCGGGACCAAGCUGGGGUGACGUCAUCAGCCGGUGACAGCUGCUGCCGGAUACGGCAGAAGCCCUUGCAUCGGGAAGUGCAGACCAUCAGCAAAUCUUCCCAGACUGCAUACCGGACAGCAUAUCGGUGCAGACGCAGGGUGAGUUAGGGUAUUUCUUUUUGGAGACUUGAUCCGAUUUUCUUUUGUUGGCAAAUUAGCCUGAUUUAUUUGGCCCUGCCUAAGAAGAAAUUCUCUUCUGUAUUAUUGAGCAGGUAUUUCUUUUUGGAGACUUGAUCCGAUUUUCUUUUGUUGGCAAAUUAGCCUGAUUUAUCUGGCCCUGCCUAAGAAGAAAUUCUCUUCUGUAUUAUUGAGCAGAAGAAAUGUCGUAUGCUCCUGCAAUCCUUUCCCUGAAUGCCAAGUUUCCAGGAAACUAACAUGAUGCCUAUGUCAUUAGACAAUCAGGGAUAUGGCAGAGAUUAAGAUCAAGUCAACGACAAGACAUGUGGUUAUUGGGAGACCGUGGAUAUCCUUGCACCCCCUGGCUCAUGACUCCUUACCGUAAGCCCAGGCCAGGACCACAGACGGCAUUUAACUCCGCGCUUACUGCCACUAGACAGCUGGUGGAGCGCACAAUUGGGGUCCUUAAAGGACGUUUUCGUGUGCUCCACCGCACUGGUGGCGACAUCAUGUAUUCGCCGGAGAUGGCAAGUAAAAUAGUGGUCCUGUGCGCUAUACUCCAUAACAUCGCGGUAAGGAGUCGCGUUGAGCUUCCUCACACAGAGGAAUUGCCAGAUGAGGAGCCAGGGGUUGGCCGGAGAUUCGGUGGGUAGAGUGUUUCCCGGAGGGGAAGUGAAGUAAGGGCAAGCAUUGUGCAAGAAUAUUUCAGCUGAUUUAUCACACAAAAUGUGGGCGAGCACAACGGCAAGGUGCUGGUGCUGGGAGGCAACCCCAGCAACAUUCUCUAUCCCCAUCCCCUUCACGAUCACCCUCCCCCUCUCCUGCCCAAUCCCCCUCUCCGGACCAAUCCCCCUCUCCAGCCCACACCCCCUCUCCUGCCCAAUCCCCCUCUCCUGCCCAAGCCCACUCUCUUUCCCAGUCCCCCUCACCAGCCCACGCACACUCUCUUUCACAAUCCCCCUCUCCACGCCACACCCCCUCUCCUGCCCAAGCACCCUCUCCUGCCCAAUCCCCCUCUCCUGCCCAAUCCCCCUCUCCAGCCACCUCAGCCUCUCCUGCCCAAUCCCCCUCUCCAGCCACCUCAGCCUCUCCUGCCCAAUCCCCCUCUCCAGCCCAAUCCCACUCUUUGGCUAAAUUCCCCUCUCUGACCCCCUCACCCUCUGUGUCCCAACAAAACACACCCCCACCCUAUCAUUCCCAAACCCACUCUGAAACUACCUCCCCCUUCCAUCCUGUCACACAAUUUGACCCUCCUUCCCCCAUCCUGCCUCCUUCCCCCAUCCAGCACCCAUCCCCCAUCCAGCCAACCUCACCCCUCCAGCCUCCAUCCCCCAGCCAGCACCUAUCCCCCAUCCAGCCUCCAUCACCCAGCCAGCCAACAUCUGAUACUGAAUGGGCAGCAGAGGCACUAGAGGGAGGUGGACAAGUGGCAGAGGAAAAUGUUGCCGUUGGAGAUCCCACAAGACUGGCAGUCAUCGUUGACCGCAUGAAGGCACAUUUGGAGGCCAUGUUGUGCGAAGUAGAAGUUUUGAAAAAAUUAAUUUAACAAAAAUGUGAUUAAAAAGAUAAUUUUACUUUUGACAAAAAAAACAAUAUGUUUAAAAAAUAAAAAUUUAA